ensembl:piRNA 21ur-2602 ncRNA
UUGGUUCCUCAUUGAAGAUUG